UGGGGAAUUUUGCACAAUGGGGGAAACCCUGAUGCAGCGACGCCGCGUGAUUUAGAAGGCCUUCGGGUUGUAAAAAUCUUUUCUAUGGGAAGAAAAUGACAGUACCAUAGGAAUAAGGACCGGCUAAUUACGUGCCAGCAGCCGCGGUAAUACGUAAGGUGCGAGCGUUGUCCGGAAUCAUUGGGCGUAAAGGGUACGUAGGCGGGUAAGCAAGUUAGAAGUGAAAUCCUAUAGCUCAACUAUAGUAAGCUUUUAAAACUGCUCAUCUUGAGGUAUGGAAGGGAAAGUGGAAUUCCUAGUGUAGCGGUGAAAUGCGCAGAUAUUAGGAGGAAUACCGGUGGCGAAGGCGACUUUCUGGCCAUAACCUGACGCUGAGGUACGAAAGCGUGGGUAGCAAACAGG
rnacentral:rRNA from 1 species